rnacentral:lncRNA from 1 species
GCCUAGUAUAUGGUGCCACAAGUAUUUCUAGUUAAUCUCCUCUCUGGAUCUCUUUUGACCUACGGCACUCCCUAUUUGCUCGUUUAGGUUCACAUUCGCAUCAACAUGCAAAUGAUAAAGACUAUCAAUUAAAAGACCUCAUGCAACCAAUUUAUUUCAUAAAUAAAUGGAAUAAAAGUCUUUAUUGUAAUAAAUUUUAAAACCUUCCUGUGCU